CUGGCGAUGAGGUCGAUCCUGUUGUUGCAAUCUGGAAGACAUGCUUAGCCGUGAAAAUGUCCUGAUCUGGAUAUUUAAAUAAGCGAGCGAAAAGUUUCAAGGGGUUGAUCACAUAACAAUUGAGCUUAGAUUGUUAGAGGACUACUGAUGGCCAUUUUAAAAAUCCACCAACUGAAAGUGAUUGUGAGUUUGCAGGCCUAGCAGUGGAUGAUGACUUAAUAAAUUUUAGGUACACAGUUGCUGACGAUAAGAUAUCGGGGUUGAAACAUAUUAGCGACUUGCAUCCCUUUUUCAUGUCUAUAUAGAAAAUUCAAAUUGUUCUUCGUAUAUUUUUUUUGGCUAAUUAAUUUUCAUGUUUAAAACUUGUCAUAUCUUUUAAUAAGAAGUCCAGCAUUCACAGCCAUAUCUGAGGACUCAUAAGAUUUUCCAUAAACUGGGUUGUGCAAAUAUUAACGCCCCUACAGAGAAACUCCCUCUGAUUUUGUAUUUAAUUUUUCCAUUAUGUGAUUUUCAUCAUAUUGUAGGCCUUAUUAACUUAUUAUGGACAAUAGUCGCAGCUUUCUAUGACUUCGAACUGUGCAACAUCUUUAGUUACAG
rnacentral:lncRNA from 1 species